GGGAUGUCUGGAGUGCCAGCCUGGGUUCAACUGCUGGCACUGGGUUCGAGUCCCAGCAAGAAUGCACAAAGACCAGAGGAAGACAUUCCUGCAGGAGUAGAGGAUGCAGUUACACCCUUGCUGCUUCAAUGGAAGAACACAGUAAGAACUGAGAAGCGUCACCUGCUAAUGGCUACACCCAGGGAUGGACUGUCUCUUGGAUCACCACUCCCUCAGUCAGGCUUGCAACCUACCUGCAGCCCGCAUCAAGGGCAGUUUUCCACCCUGGAGUCCUCCUCUCCUUUCUUCUCUGGCCUCACUCCCCCACUCCCCAUCACCCCAUCAUAACCUGUUUGGCGCUCUCAAAUUUACAGGACAAUGUACCCUGUUAUUUAGUCUUUAUUUCAUGAGCUUAUUGAGAAAUACAACAAACAAACAUGGGCUCAA